rnacentral:rRNA from 1 species
UUCUCCCUACGGGGCGCAGCAGUGAGGAAUAUUGGUCAAUGGGCGAGAGCCUGAACCAGCCAAGUCGCGUGAGGGAUGACUGCCCUAUGGGUUGUAAACCUCUUUUGUAUGGGGGGAAUAAGCUUUACGAGUAGAGUGAUGACAGUACCAUACGAAUAAGCAUCGGCUAACUCCGUGCCAGCAGCCGCGGUAAUACGGAGGAUCCGAGCGUUAUCCGGAUUUAUUGGGUUUAAAGGGAGCGUAGAUGGGGUGUUAAGUCAGUUGUGAAAGUUUGCGGCUCAACCGUAAAAUUGCAAUUGAUACUG